UUUCAUUGGCAUGCUUGCAGAUCCUGAUUCUCUCAAAAGCUCCAUCACAGUUGAUGCCAGACUCCUGAAGCAACAUAGAAUCAUGAAAUAAAUAAACUUUGGCAUGCAUUGUUUAAAACCUUAGGAAUCGAUCUAUUUGCUGGCUAGCUUUGGUUGUUCUCAAGGAAAUAAAGAGACAUGAUGAACUUGCAAAUUAUAAAAAUGCAAGAAGAACAUUAAGAAAAUAGUGGCGUAGAGUUAGACCAAACCUGAUAUUUUUGCUUCUAUAAUUUGCUUUGCAAGGUCAUACAGGGAUCCAAGAAGUUCAUCUCUCCGUUCACAGUAUUCUUGGGCUAGCACACCAUGGUCCUACCCACGUUCAAAUUUGGCAGUUAAUAGACCAACAGCACGAGACGACAGAUGACAUACCUGCAAAUCCUGAUUCUCUCAAAAGCUCCAUCACAGAUGAUGCGAGACUCCUGAACCAACACAAAAUCAUGAAAUAAAUAAACUUUGGCAUGCAUUGUUCAAACCUGAGAAAUCCAUCUAUUUGUUGGCUAGCUUUGGUUUUCGAAUAGCACUGAUACUGCUUAAUCGUUGUUGCUGGUGCCACCUGAGAUGUUGUAUUGAAUGAAGACUUAUAUACAUGUGUGGAUACAUAGACAAAACACUGUCCCUAUCAAGCCUCUAGUUGGCUAGCCAGUUGAUCAAAGAUAGUCAGGGUCUUCUGAUUAUGAACAAGGUGUUGUUGCUUGAUAACUGGAUCACGUCAUUAGGAGAAUGACGUGAUGGACUAGACCCAAACUAAUAGACGUAGAAUUUUGAUCGUGUCAUUUUGUUGCUACUGUUUUCUGCGUGUCAAGUAUUUGUUCCUAUGACCAUGAGAUCAUAUAACUCACUGACACCGAAGGAAUGCUUUAUGUGUAUCAAACGUCGCAACGUAACUGGGUGACUAUAAAGAUGCUCUACAGGUAUCUCCGAAGGUGUUCGUUGAGUUAGUAUGGAUCGAGACUGGGAUUUGUCACUCCGUGUGACGGAGAGGUAUCUCGGGGCCCACUCGGUAAUACAACAUCACACACAAGCCUUGCAAGCAAUGUGACUUAGUGUAAGUUGCGGGAUCUUGUAUUACGGAACGAGUAAAGAGACUUGCCGGUAAACGAGAUUGAAAUAGGUAUGCGGAUACUGACGAUCGAAUCUCGGGCAAGUAACAUACCGAAGGACAAAGGGAAUGACAUACGGGAUUAUAUGAAUCCUUGGCACUGAGGUUCAAACGAUAAGAUCUUCGUAGAAUAUGUAGGAUCCAAUAUGGGCAUCCAGGUCCCGCUAUUGGAUAUUGACCGAGGAGUCUCUCGGGUCAUGUCUACAUAGUUCUCGAACCCGCAGGGUCUGCACACUUAAGGUUCGACGUUGUUUUAUGCGUAUUUGAGUUAUAUGGUUGGUUACCGAAUGUUGUUCGGAGUCCCGGAUGAGAUCACGGACGUCACGAGGGUUUCCGGAAUGGUCCGGAAACAAAGAUUGAUAUAUAGGAUGACCUCAUUUGAUUACCGGAAGGUUUUCAGAGUUACCGGGAAUGUACAGGGAAUGACGAAUGGGUUCCGGGUGUUCACCGGGGGGGCAACCCACCCCGGGGAAGCCCACAGGCCUUGGGGGUGUCGCACCAGCCCUUAGUGGGCUGGUGGGACAGGCCAAGAAGGCCCUAUGAGCCAUAGGAAGAAAAUCAAAGAGAAAAAAAAAGAGGAGGUGGGAAAAGGGGGAAGGACUCCUCCUUCCAAACCUAGUUGGAUUCGGUUUGGAAGGGGGGACUCCCCCCCCUUUGGCUCGGCCGACCCCCUUGAGGGUCCUUGGACCCCCAAGGCAAGGCUCCCCCUCUUCCCCCUAUAUAUACGGAGGUUUUAGGGCUGAUUUGAGACAACUUUGCCACGGCAGCCCGACCACAUAUCUCCACGGUUUUACCUCUAGAUCGUGUUUCUGCGGAGCUCGGGUGGGGCCCUGCUGAGAUUAGAUCAUCACCAACCUCUGGAGCGCCGUCACGCUGCCGGAGAACUCAUCUACCUCUCCGUCUCUCUUGCUGGAUCAAGAAGGCCGAGAUCAUCGUCGAGUUGUACGUGUGCUGAACGCGGAGGUGUCGUCCGUUCGGCACUAGAUCGUGGGACUGAUCGCGGGACGGUUCGCGGGGCGGAUCGAGGGACGUGAGGACGUUCCACUACAUCAACCGCGUUCACUAACGCUUCUGCUGUACGGUCUACAAGGGUACGUAGAUCACACAUCCCCUCUCGUAGAUGGACAUCACCAUGAUAGGUCUUCGUGCGUGUAGGAAUUUUUUUGUUUCCCAUGCGACGUUCCCCAACAAGAUUAGAUUUCAUUGGCAUGCUUGCAGAUCCUGAUUCUCUCAAAAGCUCCAUCACAGUUGAUGCCAGACUCCUGAAGCAACAUAGAAUCAUGAAAUAAAUAAACUUUGGCAUGCAUUGUUUAAAACCUUAGGAAUCGAUCUAUUUGCUGGCUAGCUUUGGUUGUUCUCAAGGAAAUAAAGAGACAUGAUGAACUUGCAAAUUAUAAAAAUGCAAGAAGAACAUUAAGAAAAUAGUGGCGUAGAGUUAGACCAAACCUGAUAUUUUUGCUUCUAUAAUUUGCUUUGCAAGGUCAUACAGGGAUCCAAGAAGUUCAUCUCUCCGUUCACAGUAUUCUUGGGCUAGCACACCAUGGUCCUACCCACGUUCAAAUUUGGCAGUUAAUAGACCAACAGCACGAGACGACAGAUGACAUACCUGCAAAUCCUGAUUCUCUCAAAAGCUCCAUCACAGAUGAUGCGAGACUCCUGAACCAACACAAAAUCAUGAAAUAAAUAAACUUUGGCAUGCAUUGUUCAAACCUGAGAAAUCCAUCUAUUUGUUGGCUAGCUUUGGUUUUCGAAUAGCACUGAUACUGCUUAAUCGUUGUUGCUGGUGCCACCUGAGAUG
rnacentral:lncRNA from 1 species